rnacentral:rRNA from 1 species
AUUGAACGCUGGCGGCAGGCCUAACACAUGCAAGUCGAGCGGAUGAAGGGAGGUUGCUCCUGGAUUCAGCGGCGGACGGGGGAGUAAUGCCUAGGAAUCUGCCUGGUAGUGGGGGAUAACGUCAGGAAACGGGCGCUAAUACCGCAUACGUCCUGAGGGAGAAAGUGGGGGAUCUUCGGACCUCACGCUAUCAGAUGAGUGUAGGUCGGAUUAGCUAGUUGGUGGGGUAAAGGCCUACCAAGGCGACGAUCCGUAACUGGUCUGAGAGGAUGAUCAGUCACACUGGAACUGAGACACAGUCCAGACUCCUACGGGAUGCAACAGUGAAGCAUCUUGAACAAUGGACAAAAGCCUAAUCCACCCAUGCCCCGUGUGUGAAGAAGGUCUUCUGAUUGUAAAGCACUUUAAGUUGGGAGUAAUUGCAUUAGGUUAAUACCUUGCUGUUUUAACGUUACCAACAUAAUAAGCACCGGCUAACUUCGUG